rnacentral:misc_RNA from 1 species
CCUAACCUAUUACUAACAUACUCUUUAUCAAUUCAAGUCACUGUCGUAUUUCUAUUGCUUAUAUUUGUCGUUGUUGUUGUUGUUGUUUCUGCUGCUACUGCUGCGUCUACAGCUGACACAACAGCAGGAUACCUUAGAGGCCCCGCUAAGAUAUAAACGUACAUCUAUUGAAAAAUGAAAUUUAAAAGGGUUUACAUUUCAAUUAUCAUUGUUGUACAUAAAGAGAAGUAUUACAAUAAUAGAAGAUAUACCUAAGUCGUUUUAAGGUUACUAUAGAAAUAGAGAGAACCGAUAUUUAAGCUGGAGGAUAAUUUGGCUUUGUUUACAAACAGUGUAUUAUCAUCUUUUAUUAGUCAUCUGAAAUGAUUCUGGUCAUGUUUUCUUGAUAGCAAUUGAGAUCAUCAUUUAGAAAUAAAGCAAAAGCCUCACCAUACACCCUUUGGUGAGAGAUUUGGCCUACGGAAAAUGAUUCAAACCACUUGUCACUUACAGCGAUUUUGCUUAAGUAUUUGGUUGCCGAAUGGUUAAGGUCGCUGACUGCUAAUCCAGCGGCCCGGGUUCGAUUCCCGGGCGGGGAAGCAGGAAAUUAUGAAACACAUGUUUCCCACUCAACUAGAGGAGUUGUGGUAAGCAACCCAGCGUUACUGGAUUGGAACCCAGGCAUCCUCGCCGCCUGAAAACUAGCCAAUUCUUGCUAUCUGAAAGAGGGCGUUAAACUGAAUAUGAAUAAUAUGGAUAUGAACCAAAUUAUGAAAUAGAAAAUAGGGGUCUUACCUUGAAUUUUUUCACAAACAGCAAUUACAUUAAGAUUUUGUAACGUUAAAACUUGUGUUACAUCAGAUGAUGUUGAGGCUACUUCAGUGAUGCACGCGAUGCAAAUAUAUGCUUCUACCGCAUUUUGUGAAAUAUUUCACUGAAAGAGCCCCUUUUUUAUUUCAUAAACUAGUUCGGAGUUUUCAUAGCAAAAAUACUACGUAAGUCGUUAGUAAAUUGAAUCGUUUUCCGUCGACCAAAUCGUCCAGCGAAGCUCAUAUGGUGCUACUCUAAGAUCAAAAGAAUCGCGCAUUUUUUUUUUUGAACAUUUAACGCCCAUCAUAGUGACAUUUUAUGAAAUUUCCGAUUGACAAUACUGACUUAUAUCAUUCUGUUUCCCUUGUCAAGAGCAUCCGAAUGUUGUUUUUUAAAUUAAUCCAGCGAAAAAAAUAAGCCAUUUAUACUCCAGAUACUUCAAUUUUUCAUUUAUUAUACGAAACAGCCCUUUGCUAAACAAACAAUGGAAUAUAAAAGAUCUGAAUCGUACAAAAUGAAGAGAGGCUGUCCUUGUAUAUGAAUACCGAAUAUCAGGGCAAUACGGUAUCUUUACUUUUCGACCAUUAUUACGUCGACCGACGUCAAAGAAGACUGGCAAGCCACCUUAAUUCACUCUAUUCUUUGAAUUGCGGUGGCAUAACAACGCAUCUUAAAAACCAGCUAUCCCGGUUGAGGCCGAAUAACGCAUCCUUUUUUAAAUACUUACCACUUUUGUGAGCCUCGGUGGCUCAAUGGUAGCGCGCUUGCUUAUUAAAGCGGAUAGAUCUCCCCAAAGGGAUCAUUUUUGGCCGUAUAAAACCUUUGCCAAUAGAAACAGAUGACCUAAUGGAAGGGGGAUACAUAAACGAAUCCUUUUGCAACUUGGAACCCCUGUAACUUUCAAGGUACACGGUAGAACAUACUUAGAACAUAGAUCACGAAACUCCUGCUUUAAAAGGUGCAUGACUUACUUUUUGUUUAGAACAUUUUUAGAUCUAAAUCUUUUUGUUACCUAUAAAAGUUUCAUGCUUCAAGUAUUUCAAUAGGCUUAAGUUUUAUUUCUCCAAGAUUUUCCAAGAUUCUUUAACAUUACUUUUAAUUUAGUACCUUUUACAGCCUCGUAAAUUUGUUACAUCGCAUUAUAUGCAAGGUAUAACGUAUAAUUAUGUUACGCAUACAUGUAAAUAAUUAUCAAUUACCUUCUGUACAAUGUAGUGUAAGCAUUCUUGAACUUAUAAUAAUGGUGAUUUUGUCCGAAAUUUUAGAGGAAACAUCAUUUUGUUAUUGCAUCCUACAAGUUGCACUUAUUUUGAAAUAGUAUGGGCUCACGGGCUCAUUAUGAAAAAAUGCUGUUGACGGUAAAAUGGUUCAUUUUCUGGAGUGCAAGAUUGUAAAAAGGCAAUUUAUACGUGGAAAAGCACAAUGUUUUAUGCUACCCCUGAAAGUGAUGUCAAAUAACCUUAACCUUCAUUAUGUCACCUAUAUAUCACUCAUAUAUACCUCCAAAAAUAGGCGAAACUGGUAUGAGGUAGCCCAGUGGUUUUAUUACCUUUGACGUUCCUCUUCGUUAGAAAUUAUUCUAAUUUCAGUAUUUUGUUGAAGAGACAUCCUUCUUUGGAUUUUGGGUAUUUUUGUUAUUUUUCAGGCGUUUUUAAGUAGAAAAAAUCAACAAUUAUAUCAAUAAUUAUAAGGCAUAAAAUAUGCAAAUCGGUUGUUGGGAAGUCCCACGUUUUAUGUCCUGUGACGCCCAUGACUAUAAGAUGUUGUUCAAAUUUCAGUAUAAUAUUGAAAUAUAGUCAUUCCUCUGGAGGUUUGGGUGGUUUCUGUCACUUUUCAAGAGCUUUUAAGUAACACGUAUUGAGCAAUUAUUAUACCCCUUUAUAACAGUCAAAGCCAUUGCACAAUAUGUUAACUAAGUUUCUGUUACGAUACCCGUCACGAUUUAUAUAUAAAGUUUUGUUUUACCUCAAACCAGAGUCUAGCCCUUUCAUUGGUUGGGUAGUGUCACGUGGUUGCCCUCUAUAUUUCUAUAGAGGGUCAGUGGGUGACCCUACAUGAGAAUUGCAACUCAAAAUGGCGGAAAUUCGCAUUUAUUUCUACUUUAAUUAUGAUUUAACGUUUCAUUUUUAGACUGACUAUUCAAUUAAUGAGGGAGCUAUCCAACUUGCCCGGGAGAGGUAAUUAAGUGGUCGAUAGAACAAAUCAAUUAUUGGGUUUGUUACUGACCCCCUACGGAAAUAUGUAGGGUCAUUAUGCUUUAUAGAGAGCUCGGCUUCGCCUCGCCCUCUAAAAAGCAUACUGACCCUACAUAUUUCCGUAGAGGGUCAGUAACAAACCAAAUAAUUAAUAGUAAUGUGUUUUUAAAGAAACCAGGGAAGCCAGGACCACUUCUUAGAAAAAACAAGAGAUGCAGUCGAAUGACAGCCACAUAUCCCGCCGAUGCCACCCGAUUCGCGAAAAAUAGCGAAAAUUAAAUCACCGCGAAUAAAACCGGAUUUACAGUAUUAUGACCCCCCCCCCCCCCCCGUCAUAAUAUUAGGACGAGUGGGGAGUCACUAUUCUAUGUAAAAUAAUGACCGGGGGGUCAUUAUGUUAUGGGGGUCAGUUUACAACGUUACACCGGCUGUGAAAUAUUUAAUGGGACAAUUUAAACUGUGCUACCUACAAGGAAAAGGGUAGAAAUUUGUUCCUGUGCUUGUUCCAAAUGACCUUGUUAAAGCAAUUAACAUUUUGGUGAAGGAGAGGCAUAAAUUUGGUAUAGUAUGUAUUUGCAACAAAGGAAACAAACUGUGGAAGUGAUUGGGAAAAUGCUCAGCAGUGUUGACUGAGAAGCUGUACCUGUGAAUGGCAGUGAAGCAGAGGCUGCAGUUGCCAGAUGCUUGCCAGUGAUCAGCAACAAAGGGGAUCAAAGAGACAGUUUGGACACCAAUGUGGACCAGGAGUUGAGGGUUCUGACUGGAUAUCACAAUCUGUCAAUGCCAACUCCAUCUAUGGCUGUAAACACCCUAGGGAGCCUCAGUGCUCAACAGGUCAUGAAACAGCAGGGUCCACAGUCCACACAGCAACUAAUGCAACCUGACAUUGACAGGCUGAGGCUUGCUAUAUGGCAUUGGGUAUUGCCCUGCGCUAUGUGUUGGAAGCCCUGAAGAAGCCCCAUGGCAGUAAAAUGUACUUCUUUGGUAUAGCAGCCCUGGACAGAUUUAAAACUAGAUUGAAGGACUCCCCUUCUUACUGUCAACAUCUGGUGGCUAUACCUCAUUUCCAUCAGCUUCCACAACAUCUUAUGGGGUUUGUUGAGUUUGGAGCACGUAAUCAGGAACCGCCACAUUUAGCCCAGGCCACAACACUUAGUCUGUCCCAGUAACAGCCAGCCAUAAUCUGCUUUAUGUUCGGUAUAGGUCCGAACCUGCCAUUCACCUCCAGUAGCUCGGUGAUGCCGGGCCUCGAUGCUUUCAACCUGACAAACCUGCCGACCAUGUCAAGUAUGACGUCAACCCCUACCACUACAGUAACUUUGACAACAGCUGUGACAUCAGCACCAGUUCCAACAACCACAACUGCCACCAAACACAACCUAUGCCAAAUCCAACGAUUGCAAGUGCUACAAAUAUAGAUACACUGUUGGCUGGUCAGAGUAAGGAGGAAGUAGUACCAUCAGAAUCUAUACAAGACAGAGUGUUCUUUAUCUUCAACAAUCUCUCCAUGUCAGAUAUGAACCAGAAGUGUGAGGAGUUGAAAAAAGAAGUGAAGGAUGAACACAUACAGUGGGUAUAACAAUAUCUGGUAAUGAAACGUGCAAGCAUUGAGCCCAACUUCCACACACUGUAUGCCAACUUUAUGGAUGCUCUCAAUAUAAAAGAAAUCACUGACAUGGUUAUAUUGGAAACAUUCAGAAGUAUAAAGGUAUUUUUUGAAGCGACAAAGAGAUGCUAACUUCUCUGACAGGAUGUUACUCAAUAACCUCGGACAUUGGCUUGUGAUGCUUACAUUAGCCAAGAACAAACUUAUCCUACAGAUUGACAUAGACGUCAAGUCUUAAGUAUACGAGGCAUAUCAUAAAGGAGCCAGGGAGUUAUGGUAUGUGGUACCAUUCUCAGCAAAAGUUCUAGAGUCAUGUGCUAAAAACAAGAUUUUUAAACUACAUAAUCCUUGGACAAUGAGGAUAAUAAAUGUCUUGGCAGAGUUACAUCAGGAGCCAGAACUGAAAUUGAAUCUUAAGUUUGAGAUUGAAGUUCUGUGUAAAACUCUCAACAUAGAUCUAAAUGAAUUGAAGCAAUGCAAUUACCUGAAAGAUACCUCAAGGCUUAGUACAUAUGAGCCGCAACUGUCAAUCAACAAACAAAUCAUACCUAUACCAGGAGUACAGCAGACAGGCACUCCUCAACCAGAGACAGGAGGCGUGGCCUUAACGAAUGUCACAAAAACUGUGACAACGACAAGUAUGACUACAACAACAACACCAGGAUCAACACCAAGUCUGCCACCACAGCCACAGUUUGCCUUUGAUGAUAUUGUGACGUCUCUGGCUGGUCUUGCACCACACAUAGUCAUUAAUGAUCAGGCUCUAAGAGGAAAUGAUGAAACAUAGAGGAAGAUAAACAUUUGGUGAAGGCAUUUAAAGUACAUAUUACAGAAAAAAGAAACGCAAGUACAGUUGAAAUCAGACGUGCCAUAACACAAAUAUCACAGUUUAAAAGACAGAUCAGAAAAUGUUAUUCGAAGCAAAGUUAAUAACAUUAUUUUAGGAAAAGCAAAAUGUAAUAUGUAACAGAUUUAAAGUAGACAGAUAUCUAUAAAGUAAAGGCAACCUUAUUUGAAAAUGUGUAUGUAAAUGUUUCAAUAGUGGAUGCCUUUUAAUUGUCAACCGUUGUGCGAUGUGCGUCAAGGAAGUGCUGAAGAAUGAGCUGUUUGGAUGGGUGAUCCGAAGGAUGACAUCUCCUAAAACAUUUGGGCAAUUUCGAGCAAACUUCACAGGAAUGUUCCUCAAAUGGUCCAUUUUCAAGGGCAAUAUGUUUUGACUAAAUAGAAACAGUAACAGUCUUCUCCGAAACCAUUUGUGGAGUUUCAAAAUAAUUUCACACAGUUGUUCUUUAGUUGGCCCUUUAUUAAAUUCCUUCAAGCUUUGUUGGUUUACAAAAUACUUGGAUGAUGGGGCAGAGCAAAUGUUUCAAUAUAUGACUGUAUGAGCAUAGCAUUUUUGAGAAUAGGUACCUCAUAGUAAAAUGUGUUCUAUUUUAGAUGUAUAAAAAGAAUGAUAAAAAUUGAACUGAAAUGAGAUGGUUAAUUAUUAUUCUAACACGAUUCGCAGCAGUUGCUAUAUAAACAUAUAGCA